GGAGGGGUGGCAGAGCGGUCUAAUGCGCACGCCUGGAGAGCGUGUGGGGUCCAAAGCCCUCGCGAGUUCGAAUCUCGCCCCCUCCGCCA
rnacentral:tRNA from 1 species